GGUCGGGGGUCGCGGGUCGGGGGUCGCGGGUCGCCGGUCGCCGGUCGCGGCGGAGCCUGGGCGCUGAGGAAAGAUCUAGGAGAGAGGGAGAAAUUGAUGCUGCCAGAAAGGGGAUAGUUACAGAAGCGAAGACCUUGAGAAGGAGAUGAUGAGACCCAGGAUGCAACACAGAAGGCUUGGACUUAGAUAAGGGCACCAACGGUCCCUCGACAGUGCCUGGAGGGAAGAUUCCUGGAUAUCACGUGAGAAGCUGCGUUUGCUUUGUUUAGCUAGAAAGCAGGCCCAUCACGCAUCUGUAAGAAAGAGACUGCAGUGUAGGCCCUGGCAUCUAAGCUGAGUAAGAUGCCCUGUCAAUUUGGGUCCUCUGGGAAGCAAGACUGAUGAAAUUAGGAGCACCAAAGCUUUACAUCCCAGCUAUGUGCAUUUGGGGCUGGGGCUGCCUGGGAAGAGCUCGUCCUCAGCCCAAAGCCUGCAACAGCUGGGAUCAGGGCUUACCUCUCACAGACGGGGCUCAGCAACUCUCUGCGGGAUGAGGACACGAGCCCACUCGACCUGGAACGUCUGGUGUUUUAAGCCCCAAUCUGAAACCUCCUGGCCCCGUGGAAGAUGGGAAGAAACACUCCUCUUCCUCUCAGUUUUACAACUGAGUGGUCCUCAGGCCGCUUGUGAGCACUGGACGACCGACGGAGCAGGCUGCAGCCCAUCAGCUGGCACAGGGCUCCGACUGAAAAUCAUCUUGGCUGGUGCCACAGAAUCGGCCUGAAAACAGGAUACUGCCUACAGCAAGGCACCCAGGGGAGCCAAGCAGGAAAAUGUAAUGAAUUGACUUUAAGUAGCUGCAGCUGUGAUUAGAGUAUUUUUAGCCACAGGACUCAACCAGCUUUCAAAACCUGCUAAUAAGAGCCCCACUGUAGCCAGCACAAAAAUUUAGUUUUCAGUUUAACACCAGGAAUCUGCUUAGCUAGGAGCUGGCUUAGAAGGCACAUCAGGAGAGAACAUUUUCCACUGAAAGUUGAAGAUUUUUCAUUUUCUAGCUGAAUUACGACAAAGGGAGAUGACCAUUAAGUGCCUGCCAGCAUACUGGGACGUACACUUAACACUUUUGAAAAGAAAACUCAACUCAUGCCAGCAAAUCUGUCUUCUGCUGCCUCUAGCUCAGCAUCAUGUAUGUAUUUUGGGCAAAACUAAUCAUUUCACACCCUAGACUUUAAAGAGACACAGAAUCUAAUGAUGGUUCUAACAUACUCACCACAUACCCACCCCCUCUAACAUGCUUUGGCGUAUUUCCUGUGAGAAGCAGUUACUGGAGGCCGAAUGGAUUCCAUUCAUCCACAGCGCUGUGCAUGCAACAGCCAGAUUAGGCCCCGUUGGGACUGCGUGGCCCGCUGCUUCCUACGGGCUCCGGGGCUGCCCAGCAGGGAUGACCUCGGAGCCCACAAGGGGGAGGCCAGUGGGGGCGCUGGGACGGUUUCCUUGACCCUGUCUCAACCCAGAGAAAGAGACCUGCAGGUGAAAAAGGUCUUCGUGAAAGGAAUGAAAAAGGAGAGGGCUUUAGGGGAAGGGGCUGCCUGGUGGCAAAGCCAGCGCCUUGUUUCCCCAGGCAAACAUGACAGAGUCUCGAUGCACAGUAAGAGCCAGUCCGUCUUUACUGGAGUGAGUGCGCGAGACAAACAGUUUACAACAACCUUUAGCAUUGUCUUCACCAUUUGAUAAAAAGUUCACUAUUAUAUUUAUUGUAUAAUGAAGAAAAACAACACAUUCAGGGAAAAAUUGAGAUUAACUUAUUUUUCUUAAAAGGUUCAUCUCAAGGAUGGCAACAAAGUCCAGCUUGUGCCGCCAAACGGUUUUACAUGAUCAAACCGUGUACAGCUUCUUGUGUGAACUGUUGACUACAAACAUUUACCAAAUACAUAAAUCUCUUUUAAAAAAGCCAUUUUAAAUAUAGCAAAGCAGUGUCUUCUUGCACAGCAAAGUGAAGAAAGUUUCUACAGAGAAAUAGAAGUUUUACAUUUGUAAAAUCUUUUUCACAUUCUAAUCAUCUAGCUUAAGAUCCAAUGCCAGGAGUUUUCAGGUUCCUUAUUUACUAUGUAUCUCUUGUGCGCAUGAUGGUUAAUACAGAAAUUAUGUUAAUGCAUCACUAGUUACCCUUCUAGUUAAAGGAAAUGGUAAAACAUGUAUUGUUCUUUUAGAACAAACCCCUGAUUUAGUCUAUAACACAAUGGACAUAAUUGGGCUCAAAAGAUGGAGUUUUGAUUGGGACCACCUGUGUACACACAACGGUGACUUUCGCUCGCAGUGGAGUAGCGAUUAGAGUACUGAAGAAGUACAGCUGUUGGAAACUGUACUUUAACCAGUGCAAUUUAAGCUUUUUUUGCUUUUGUUUUUUAGUAAUAAAAUACUUCUGGAGGGAUAAAA
rnacentral:sRNA from 1 species